CACCCGCAUCGGCAAGCGCGGUCUGCACCUGGCGGUCUGGGCGCUGGAGGCGGGGUUCGAAGCCCCGUGGGCGGC
rnacentral:tRNA from 1 species